GACGAACGCUGGCGGCGUGCCUAAUACAUGCAAGUAGAACGCUGAAGAGAGGAGCUUGCUCUUCUUGGAUGAGUUGCGAACGGGUGAGUAACGCGUAGGUAACCUGCCUUGUAGCGGGGGAUAACUAUUGGAAACGAUAGCUAAUACCGCAUAACAAUGGAUGACCCAUGUCAUUUAUUUGAAAGGGGCAAAUGCUCCACUACAAGAUGGACCUGCGUUGUAUUAGCUAGUAGGUGAGGUAACGGCUCACCUAGGCGACGAUACAUAGCCGACCUGAGAGGGGGAUCGGCCACACUGGGACUGAGACACGGCCCAGACUCCUACGGGAGGCAGCAGUAGGGAAUCUUCGGCAAUGGGGGCAACCCUGACCGAGCAACGCCGCGUGAGUGAAGAAGGGUUUCGGAUCGUAAAGCUCUGUUGUAAGUCAAGAACGAGUGUGAGAGUGGAAAGUUCACACUGUGACGGUAGCUUAACAGAAAGGGACGGCUAACUACGUG
rnacentral:rRNA from 1 species